UACGUAGGCAGCGAGCGUUGUUCGGAGUUACUGGGCGUAAAGCGUGCGCAGGCGGUUAUGUAAGACAGUUGUGAAAUCCCCGGGCUCAACCUGGGAAUUGCAUCUGUGACUGCAUAGCUAGAGUACGGUAGAGGGGGAUGGAAUUCCGCGUGUAGCAGUGAAAUGCGUAGAUAUGCGGAGGAACACCGAUGGCGAAGGCAAUCCCCUGGACCUGUACUGACGCUCAUGCACGAAAGCGUGGGGAGCAAACAGG
rnacentral:rRNA from 1 species